UAGAGACAUUUUUAUCCUCUGAUCCGAGAUCUUUUUUCUGACCAUUGGAGGUAUAAACUCUCACUUGACUCAUCAGCUGCACGGGCAGACGAUUGCACGGCAAAACACAAAACAGGCUCCCACUUUUCAUUGAAGCUUGCCAUCCGUGGCAGGCGCGGCGCAGCGGGGCCGCCUGGCACCGCACGUACAGCCGGUACAGGCUGCGGCAGCCCCGCCGCGGGGCGGACAGGGCCGGCAUCAUGGCGGCGACCUCGGGCGGAGCGCGGCCGCUCCCCGCCGCACGCCAGCGGCCGCCGAACGGGCGGCGAUGCGCAUCGGACAAACCCGGCCCGGCGGCGCGGCACCCCCCCCCGACCGCGGGCGGCAGCCGGCGGUGGGAGGCGCCGCGGCACCCGGAUGUGCGUCGAGCCCGGGGAGCGCCCGGCGGCCUCCGCUGACUCACGGGCCGCUCCCUCCCGCCCGACGCGCAUGCGCCGCGCGCGGGUGAGGGCUUUCGCUUUUCGCCGCUUCUCCCACAGGUGGCGGCUUCUGCAGGCGGUGAGUGCCCCGCCGCCUGCCCCCAGCGCCCGGCCGGAGCCGUGCCUCAUCCUGCCUCAGCGCAGGCAGUGCCACGGCGGCACCUCACGCGCUGUUAUAAAAAGCGCUUUAGCAACUUGAAGCUCUCCAGGAUAGCUUAGGUGAUCGCUUAUCUGGCUGCCACGAACUGUCUCAGGCGUCCCUCGAUUUGUUUGUGCGCUGUGAGGAGCGUGGGAAUGCACCAGAAGCUCGCUUGGCAGGGAACGUGGAUAAUUAAUGUGCCUGAUCAUCCACCAAGCGUUUGAUCACUUAGGAAAAUGACUGUGGUGCCCGUCUUUAACAUACCCGAUGAGAUUUUUCAACAAGGUUUACUGGCACGUAACUUCUUUAACAGUCAUCCACUGAUGAGCAGUGCCAAUGUAAAGUGUGCCUGUAUGCCCAGCGGAGGCAGAUGGGAGUGAACUGCUGUGUGCAAUGAUUAAAUGAACACCCCUCUCCCCACAGUCCUAUCACAGCCGUGCCGGGUGAACGAGGAGCACUGCAGCAGAUGCCGUGUCAUUAACCAGCAGAUGGACAGCACUGGAGUUAAAUACUAAAUUACUGCCAGUUGUGGAGUCAUAAAGGUGGGAUCAGUUCUCUGAUUUUAAUGGGGCCGUAACGUUCACCUGAUGGAUGUUUUGCUGGCCACUUGCUAUUUCAGCAAGAGGUUAUACAAAGUAAACAACAAUUUAAAACCCAAAUGAAAUCAUGAGGUUAAAGUUCCCUUUCCUUUCCCACGGGAGAUACCUGAAAAAAAAAAAAUAUAUAUAUAUAGGCAGAAAUACUGGAAAUGUGUAAAUCCUGAGGGGGUUCACACUGUGCUCCAUAGAAAAUAUGCCAAUUGUUGCAUUAUUUCUAAAAAUAUUUUUCUAUAGGUUUAUAAUUUACUUUCCAAAACCAAAUGGAAUAUUAUCACUGAAUAAUGUCAUAUUCUUUUAUUCAACUGAAUUUGCCUUGUCUGCUUUUGUUAUAAACAUGGAACAGGAAGGAAAAUAACACCACUGGAACAGCACAGACCAAGUCACAGAUGUUAUUGGGCUGGUGGUCAGCCAGGAUUUACACGAGCAAGGGCUCUGCACGAACCUUUGCUGAUGAAUACUUAAACCUGCAGAAUGAGGCAAAGAACCACCAAAACAAAACAUCAGUGGCAGCUUGUUCAGUGUGGAGGAGCCAGGUUGCUCUGAGCAAUCACUAACAAAUCAGCGUGCCUCGUGGUGUGUGUCUGCAGCAUCCCAAGUCAGAGUCCUGAAUCCUUAGACAUAACAUCACAAUCGUUAGUUGUCAUAGAAUCACAGAAUCAUAGAAUGGCCUGGGUUGAAAAGGACCACAGUGAUCAUCCAGUUUCAACCCCCUGCUACGUGCAGGGUUGCCAACCACCGGACCAGGCUGCCCAAAUCACUAGAAGUGAGUUUGCCUGUGACCAAAGACUAUGUAUAGCCACAGUGAGCCAGUGAGAUACUGUUUCUCCCUGAGUGGCAAUAUUUCAAUGGUCAGAACUGCACCCUAAAGUUCCACAAUGAAUUAUCGUUAUUCCUUAGCUAAUUUAGGCCCUUAUCUCAUGGAAUCAAUCCAGUUGAAGACAAAAUACAUAUAUAAAAACCUAAUUCACAUUCAAGUUCCUACAAUCUGACCUGAUAAAAUGUUUUUAGAAAGAUCUCUUCGGAGAUCUCGACAGUGAGGGAGGGAAGCAGAAGGCAGAUCAUUUCCCUUAAUAAUCCCGUAUAGGAUUUUCCAUUUGUUAACUGAUGUUGCAGAGCUGUUGUAUAUUAGUAAAUCUGAUGGAGGCCUUCGAGCCAUUCGAGCAGAACUCCCCUGCCAAAGUUAUGUGCUGCAUACAGAGCACCACUGCCCUGCUUUAGCAGGGGGGCUUCUGUGCCUUCUGAACUUCUGGUGCCGAGACAUGGCAGGUUGCAGGCUGCACCACACAGCUGCCAUGAGCUACCUGCAGAGACAGUUGGGGCCAGUCCUGCCCAGCAUGCCAUCCAUGGGGAUGUUCACCUUUUCCUUUGCUAAUGUACCUAUCACAUGAAGGUUUUGGUGUAUUGCUUAGCAGAAGGCAGCAGACUGGCUCUGCUCUGACACUGGCAUUGGAGUUAUUUCCUCAGGCUUCCCUUUAGCAGAAAACAACAACAAAAAAACAUGCCAACAAUGUUAGAACGCCGUUGUAUAAAGCAUAUAACCUUUCCAGUAAAGGCUUCUAAGGCUUUUAAGUUGGUAAAUCCACCUAAGUCUGUACAACUUCAAGUCACGUGCUAUUCCAGGUCAGUAAUAAUCUCGUGGCCACCGAAUCAAAGUUCAGAAUAAAGUAGAAGUUAGUAUCUUUAGGUUUCAGCAUGUAGGCAAGAGUUUAAUUAUUCACAUGCAGUUCAUUCACCUGAAUGCUCACUGAGUCGUUUCCAGCUUCCUGAACAGCACGCAGCUGCAGUCCCCUGUCCUUUUGUACCCAGCAGCAAUCAGGAGGUUCCUGUCUGCUCCUAGGUUGUCCUAUUGCUAAGGAAGCCCAGAACACUCACAGAACACAGUGAUAACCUCAUCAGUUCCUUGGGACCUCAGCUGAGACAUGUCUGAUUUUCUGGGAAGCUGCGUAGGCAUCAGUACUGCAGAGCUGGUUGAAAUGGGAGUACAGGGGUGGGGUGGGGGUAGAAGUGGGCUUCAGGAGAGAGGGUUUAACAACAGAUUGGAUAGAUAAAGAAGACAAGAGAAAGAUGGGUUAAUGUUUGAGGGCUAGAGAUUGACAGCAGACGUGGAGACAGGUGUAUUAUUUGGCCCAAGACACCACUGGCACCUCCACAGUUUGGGAGCCUGCCAUGAUAUGCUGGAGAACAUAGCAGCAGUGCAGCUCUACUGAUCCCAUCAGAUGAGCCUGGGGCAGAUCUGCCGGUGUGUUUUCAUGGUAAAUGAGAACAGGUGGAUUUGCAUCAAAACCUCUGAUUGGCUCUGAUUUAGCAUACCAGUGCAGGCACUUCUUUUAACUUUAAUGCUUUUUUAAAUACUGUUUUCCUAAAGGAAGAUUUUACACUUCAGAAUUUGCUUUCCCCCUGGAGGAAUUACUUGCAUGUCUGAACAAGAAUCAGUGGGAAUUAUACUGAGAUGCCUGCAGCUGCAAUCAAAUUAGGGAAAAGGGAAAGAUGCAUGCAGCUGCACACCUAUCUGAUACAAGUACAUCCAAAAGCGUGCAGUUAAUGGUUACGUGAGAAAAGGGGGAUGGAAACAUCAUUCUUUUUGUAUCAAUAAUCCCACACCUACGCAUGUAGGAAGUGACUUCAAUGCUAUGGAAUUAUUCAAAACUCACCUGGAUGCAAUCCUGUGCAACAUGCUCUGGGGUACUCUUCUGGAGCAGGGGUUGGACCACAUGAUCUCCAGCAGUUCUUUCCAACCUCAGCCAUUCCAUGCAUCUGUGUGAAUCUGGAUUCCUGCUACUGUAAUUAUUGUACUUAUGACUGUAAUGAUUUGACAAAUGUUUUAGAAUCUUUACUAUGAGAUGCUCUCAGAUCAUAGGGUCUUUUAGCUUCUCAACAGUUGUGACAAACAUUAUGGCCUACAAGUUAUUAUUUAGUUAAAAAACCUUAACCAGAAAUCUGUUUUUUCCUUCAGUUUCCUUUCUAAUGCAUAUAAUGCAUAGGACAGGUAGAUGCUUGUAAAACCAAAGUACAACAACUCAUGAAAAGACGUUAUUCUCAAAUUUAGGAGGAAAAAGGUUAUAGUGUAGGCAAUACACAUCCAGGUGUACAUUAAGUUAAAGUGUGUUGCUUCACAGAUGCAAGUCAUGACUAGAGGUCAGCGGUUUGGAAUAAAACCAGCACACAAAAGAAAAAUUCCAUUUAGAUUCAGCUGACCAAAUCAUAGGUAGUUUCCAACUCUGAUGGAAAAAUAACUUGCAAGGGUAACAACAGUCACCUCCAUCCUAAAUCAGAAAGCUAGCUAUAAUUCUUAAAAAAAUAGUGCUAUGUACAUUCUCUACUGAAGCAACUGCUUUCAACCUGAACAGUAAUAUGCA
rnacentral:lncRNA from 1 species